GAAGUCCUGAUGUGUGCGUGUGGCCCGGAUGUUUUGUAACCUAACACCUUUUCUAUGGGAGCUUUAUAUUUCCUGCUGUCGAUGCUAAGCCUCCUGCGAGUGGUAAGCCAUCCGGCAGGCUGCGAGCACCCACCUGCCGAGCGCAGGUUCAAAACAAAGGUUCACGGCAUGUUGGGGCUUCU
rfam:Clostridium ultunense Esp genomic scaffold, CTLT_3033